rnacentral:rRNA from 1 species
CGGUCCGGCCGGGAACUCAAAGGAGACUGCCAGUGAUAAACUGGAGGAAGGUGGGGAUGACGUCAAGUCAUCAUGGCCCUUACGACCAGGGCUACACACGUGCUACAAUGGCGCAUACAAAGAGAAGCGACCUCGCGAGAGCAAGCGGACCUCAUAAAGUGCGUCGUAGUCCGGAUUGGAGUCUGCAACUCGACUCCAUGAAGUCGGAAUCGCUAGUAAUCGUGGAUCAGAAUGCCACGGUGAAUACGUUCCCGGGCCUUGUACACACCGCCCGUCACACCAUGGGAGUGGGUUGCAAAAGAAGUAGGUAGCUUAACCUUCGGGAGGGCGCUUACCACUUUGUGAUUCAUGACUGGGGUGAAGUCGUAACAAGGUAACCGUAGGGGAACCUGCGGUUGGAUCACCUCCUU